rnacentral:rRNA from 1 species
GAUGAACGCUGGCGGCGUGCCUAAUACAUGCAAGUCGAGCGAAUGGAUUAAGAGCUUGCUCUUAUGAAGUUAGCGGCGGACGGGUGAGUAACACGUGGGUAACCUGCCCAUAAGACUGGGAUAACUCCGGGAAACCGGGGCCAAUACCGGAUAACAUUUUGAACCGCAUGGUUCGAAAUUGAAAGGCGGCUUCGGCUGUCACUUAUGGAUGGACCCGCGUCGCAUUAGCUAGUUGGUGAGGUAACGGGUCACCAAGGCAACGAUGCGUAGCCGACCGGAGAGGGUGAUCGGCCACACAGGGACUGAGACACGGCCCAGACUCCUACGGGAGGCAGCAGUAGGGCAUCUUCCGCAAAGGACGAAAGUCUGACGGAGCAACGCCGCGUGAGUGAUGAAGGCUUUCGGGUCGUAAAACUCUGUUGUUAGGGAAGAACAAGUGCUAGUUGAAUAAGCUGGCACCUUGACGGUACCUAACCAGAAAGCCACGGCUAACUACGUGCCAGCCGCCGCAGUAA